AAUCAGGUAGGACUACCCGCUGAACUUAAGCAUAUCAAUAAGCGGAGGAAAAGAAACCAACAGGGAUUGCCUUAGUAGCGGCGAGUGAAGCGGCAAAAGCUCAAAUUUGAAAUCUGGCACUUUCAGUGUCCGAGUUGUAAUUUGAAGAAGGUAUCUUUGGGUCUGGCUCUUGUCUAUGUUUCUUGGAACAGAACGUCACAGAGGGUGAGAAUCCCGUGCGAUGAGAUGACCCAGACCUAUGUAAAGUUCCUUCGAAGAGUCGAGUUGUUUGGGAAUGCAGCUCUAAGUGGGUGGUAAAUUCCAUCUAAAGCUAAAUAUUGGCGAGAGACCGAUAGCGAACAAGUACAGUGAUGGAAAGAUGAAAAGAACUUUGAAAAGAGAGUGAAAAAGUACGUGAAAUUGUUGAAAGGGAAGGGCUUGAGAUCAGACUUGGUAUUUUGUAUGUUACUCUCUCGGGGGUGGCCUCUACAGUUUACCGGGCCAGCAUCAGUUUGGGCGGUAGGAGAAUUGCAAAGAAAUGUGGCACUGCCUCGGUAGUGUGUUAUAGUCUUUGUCGAUACUACCAGCCUAGACUGAGGACUGCGG
rnacentral:rRNA from 1 species